rnacentral:rRNA from 1 species
GAUGAACGCUGGCGGCGUGCCUAAUACAUGCAAGUCGAGCGAACGGACGAGAAGCUUGCUUCUCUGAUGUUAGCGGCGGACGGGUGAGUAACACGUGGAUAACCUACCUAUAAGACUGGGAUAACUUCGGGAAACCGGAGCUAAUACCGGAUAAUAUUUUGAACCGCAUGGUUCAAAAGUGAAAGACGGUCUUGCUGUCACUUAUAGAUGGAUCCGCGCUGCAUUAGCUAGUUGGUAAGGUAACGGCUUACCAAGGCAACGAUGCAUAGCCGACCUGAGAGGGUGAUCGGCCACACUGGAACUGAGACACGGUCCAGACUCCUACGGGAGGCAGCAGUAGGGAAUCUUCCGCAAUGGGCGAAAGCCUGACGGAGCAACGCCGCGUGAGUGAUGAAGGUCUUCGGAGCGUAAAACUCUGUUAUUAGGGAAGAACAUAUGUGUAAGUAACUGUGCACAUCUUGACGGUACCUAAUCAGAAAGCCACGGCUAACUACGUG